rnacentral:rRNA from 1 species
UACGUAGGGUGCAAGCGUUGUCCGGAAUUAUUGGGCGUAAAGAGCUCGUAGGCGGUCUGUCGCGUCGAAUGUGAAAACCCGGGGCUCAACCCCGGGCCUGCAUUCGAUACGGGCAGACUAGAAUUCGGUAGGGGAGUCUGGAAUUCCUGGUGUAGCGGUGAAAUGCGCAGAUAUCAGGAGGAACACCGGUGGCGAAGGCGGGACUCUGGGCCGAUACUGACGCUGAGGAGCGAAAGCGUGGGGAGCAAACAGG